rnacentral:misc_RNA from 1 species
GUAGGUGAACCUGCGGAAGGAUCAUUAUCGUAGGGCUUCGGCCCUGUCGAGAUAGAACCCUUGCCUUUAUGAGUACCGUCCGUUUCCUCGGCAGGUCCGCCUGCCGAUGGACCAAAAAAACAAACCCUUUUUAUUACCUGUAUCAGUCUGAAAAACAAAUAAAAAUUAAAACUUUCAACAACGGAUCUCUUGGUUCUG